UUCCAGCGAAGCAGGAGGAGGAGCAGAAGGGUCUCCUUCUGUUCCUUCUCUGGCUUCGCUGAAGGGCGCUGCGCCUUCUCCCUCUCUGCGCAGCACCUCUCCUGUGAAGGAGAGGUGCUGCGCGGAGAGGGAGAAGGCGCAGCGCCCCUUGAGUGGCGCGCUUGUCCAGCGAAGCCAGAGGAGGAACAGAAGGGUCUCCUUCUGUUCCUUCUCCAGCUUCACUGAAGG
rnacentral:miRNA from 1 species